rnacentral:rRNA from 1 species
UUAAGUGAAUAAGGGCGCACGGAGGAUGCCUUGGCACUAGGAGUCGAAGAAGGACGCGACAAACGGCGAAACGCCUCGGGGAGCUGUAAGUGAGCAUUGAUCCGGGGGUAUCCGAAUGGGGAAACCCGCUAGUGGUUAUACGCUAGCACCAUAUGGUGAAUACAUAGCCAUAUAGGAGACAGACCCAGGGAACUGAAACAUCUAAGUACCUGGAGGAAAAGAAAGAAAAAUCGAUUCCCGUAGUAGCGGCGAGCGAAGUGGGAAGAGCCCAAACCGGAUUUAUCCGGGGUUGUAGGACCUUCAUAAUUGACAAAUCAUGAUAGCCGAAUGGUCUGGGAAGGCCAACCGUAGGGGGUGAGAGUCCCGUAGGUGAAAUUGUGAGAUGCAUGGAAGGAAUCCUGAGUACGGCGGGACACGUGGAAUCCCGUCGGAAUCAACGAGGACCAUCUCGUAAGGCUAAAUACUACCUAGUGACCGAUAGUGAACCAGUACCGUGAGGGAAAGGUGAAAAGAACCCCGGAAGGGGAGUGAAAGAGAACCUGAAACCGUGUGCCUACAAAUAGUCAGAGCCCGUUAAUGGGUGAUGGCGUGCCUUUUGUAGAAUGAACCGGCGAGUUACGAUAUCGUGCGAGGUUAAGCAGAAGAUGCGGAGCCGUAGCGAAAGCGAGUCUGAAUAGGGCGAAGAGUACGAUGUUGUAGACCCGAAACCGUGUGAGCUAGCCAUGAGCAGGCUGAAGGUCAGGUAACACUGACUGGAGGGCCGAACCAGGGCACGUUGAAAAGUGCUUGGAUGACUUGUGGCUAGGGGUGAAAUUCCAAUCGAACACGGAUAUAGCUGGUUCUCUCCGAAAUAGCUUUAGGGCUAGCCUCGAUGUUAAGUCUACUGGAGGUAGAGCACUGAAUGGGUGAUGGCCCCACCUCGGGGUACUGAUCUCAAUCAAACUCCGAAUGCCAGAUAGAUAUAAUCGGGAGUCAGACUGUGGGUGAUAAGGUCCAUGGUCAAAAGGGAAAGAGCCCAGACCGCCAGCUAAGGCCCCCAAGUGUCCGUUAAGUGGAAAAGGAUGUGGAGAUGCACAGACAACUAGGAGGUUGGCUUAGAAGCAGCCAUCCUUUAAAGAGUGCGUAAUAGCUCACUAGUCGAGUGACUCUGCGCCGAAAAUGUACCGGGGCUAAACGGACCGCCGAAGCUGCGGAUUGACUUUAGAGUCAGUGGUAGGAGAGCGUUCUAACAGCGGUGAAGCAGUACCGGAAGGAGCUGUGGAGCGGUUAGAAGUGAGAAUGCCGGUGUGAGUAGCGAAAGAUAGGUGAGAAUCCUAUCCAUCGAAAGCCUAAGGUUUCCAGGGGAAGGCUCGUCCGCCCUGGGUAAGUCGGGACCUAAGGUGAGGCCGAAAGGCGUAGCCGAUGGACAACAGGUUGAUAUUCCUGUACCACUUAUUAAACUGAUGGAGUGACGGAGAAGGCUAAGUUGAGCGUGUGAUUGGAUUCACGUGUAAGCAGUGAGGUGGUCAUGUAGGCAAAUCCGCAUGGCAUAACAUUGAGCUGUGAUGCCGAAGCCGAAUGGCGAAGUCAACUGACGUCACGCUUCCAAGAAAAGCUUCUAGGGUUAAUUUAAUAAGUGCCCGUACCGAUAACCGACACAGGUAGGCGAGGAGAGAAUCCUAAGAUGAGCGAGAGAACUCUUGUUAAGGAACUCGGCAAAAUGACCCCGUAACUUCGGGAGAAGGGGUGCUUGUGAAAGCAAGCCGCAGUGAAUAGGCCCAGGCGACUGUUUAUCAAAAACACAGGUCUCUGCUAAACCGCAAGGUGAUGUAUAGGGGCUGACGCCUGCCCGGUGCUGGAAGGUUAAGAGGAGAGGUUAGCGCAAGCGAAGCUUUGAAUUGAAGCCCCAGUAAACGGCGGCCGUAACUAUAACGGUCCUAAGGUAGCGAAAUUCCUUGUCGGGUAAGUUCCGACCCGCACGAAAG